AAAGUCGUAACAAGGUUUCCGUAGGUGAACCUGCGGAAGGAUCAUUAAUGAGAGGUGCUCUAACGAGCCCAUAUCAUAAACACUUGCAUACCUUUCCCUUUGCUUUCCGCAUCAGCAAUGGUGCGGAACACUAUACUAAAUUCUGUUUAACUGUAAUGUCUGAAUAAACUAUAAUAAGUUAAAACUUUCAACAACGGAUCUCUUGGUUCUC
rnacentral:misc_RNA from 1 species